rnacentral:rRNA from 1 species
GACGAACGCUGGCGGCGUGCUUAACACAUGCAAGUCGAACGGAAAGGCCCUGCUUUUGUGGGGUGCUCGAGUGGCGAACGGGUGAGUAACACGUGAGUAACCUGCCCUUGACUUUGGGAUAACUUCAGGAAACUGGGGCUAAUACCGGAUAGGAGCUCCUGCUGCAUGGUGGGGGUUGGAAAGUUUCGGCGGUUGGGGAUGGACUGGCGGCUUAUCAGCUUGUUGGUGGGGUAGUGGCUUACCAAGGCUUUGACGGGUAGCCGGCCUGAGAGGGGGACCGGCCACAUUGGGACUGAGAUACGGCCCAGACUCCUACGGGGGGCAGCAGUGGGGAAUAUUGAACAAUGGGCGGAAGCCUGAUGCAGCAACGCCGCGUGCGGGAUGACGGCCUUCGGGUUGUAAACCGCUGUCGCCUGUGACGAAGCGUGAGUGACGGUAAUGGGUAAAGAAGCACCGGCUAACUACGUGCCAGCAGCCGCCGUAA